AAUGAAUGGUGGUACUCAUUAUCCUUCUAGUUCUGUGUGUGUGUGUGCGUGUCUGUGUGUGUGUGUGUGUGUGUGUGUGUGUCAUACCUGGGAAUGGGCCCUUCCUAACACACUGCUCCUGAGUUCAGUCUUGCCUCUGUUUUGGAAAGGUCUCUCCUUUAGUGUAUUAUUUCAGUCUGGCAGAGGCUUCUCAGAUUGGCAUUAUGGAGAGACCGGUGGCUCUGGCAGGUAUCUGGUCUCUGUCAGAUUCUGAUGACCUUAGGCCUUUAGGUUUACUAAAUAAUAAGUCUAUGCCUUUGACGCUUGGUCUAAAUACGACUAUGGUCCCUCACUGAUCAUCGCGAUGCCAGACUAGGUGGCAGUAUUUUCUACAAUCAAUACGGUGUCUGCAAACCUGUGCUUUAGCGCUUGCCGUAUUCACCGCGGGAAUACGUUCUGUAGGUAGGCAUGUACGGUGGUGUUUUCCCACCACACUUACAAGUUAAAAGUGUGAAGUUGUUACGGCUUUAGACGCAAACAUUUGGAAAAUAUAUCCGGUUGACAGCGGGUUUGUGGGCUAAUUUAAUAAUCACCGAAAGGAAAUUGUAUGUGCUGUAGAUUGGGUAAUUCGUCGCAUUAUUCAUUUAUUUUAUGAAGUCAGAAACAAGACAACUGUAAAAAUCACUUUCUUGCUCUUUAUCCUAAACUGAAGUGUUAAGAGGACGGUACUCCUAAUUAUAUGGCGACGUGUAAAGGUAAAAAUGCGAUCAAACAAUGAUGGAAGUCAGAUUUCUAAAUAACCUGUCGAAGAGACAGGGGUGAAGAGGAUGCAAGUCCAAUAGAGCAGAGUCACGUGGGAGCCUUCCAGUCUUUCAGAUCAGUCCUUCCUUCGUUGGAUCCCCCCUCGGAUGACUCCCCUGAGACCGCCUGCUUAGUCACAAGGACUUCCCCUUCCUCCAACCCUAUAGCCCCCUCCUCUCCCUCAACAUCUCACCCACACUCAUUCUCAGACCCCCCUCCGCCCCCCCCAUACCCCUCCUCCUCCUCUAUCCCCACACACUCGUUCCCUGCCUUCCCCUCUUCAUCAUCCUACCCCCUUUCAUCUUACCCGGCUUCCUCCAUCCGCCCCGCCUCUCCGCACACCUCCCUCCCCUCUCUCCUCCCCUCCUCCUCCCCCCUCCAUCCCACGCCAAGCAGGCAACUCUCUCAGCCCAGGCUGGGUGUGGAGCACCUGGAGGAGCUGUCUCACUGUGCCUCCGUCAGCCUGGAGGAGCAGCACCAGGGCAGGCUGGUGCUGGGGGAAGUGGCCCGGUCCCUGGGGUCCCUGGCCGUGUCGCUGCAGGGCCUGGUGGAGACCCAGAAGGAGUUUUCCCACGACUCCCUGAAGAUGCAGAGAGAGAUGGUGGACACGCUUAGACAGUUCUCUACCAACGCUCUCUCGCUGCUCAGGCACAAGGUCGAUGGACAUCCGCCUCUUUAACGCGUGCACACAUGGACGUACACACGCGUGUGGACGCACACAGUGGGUGAUGGGCGUGUCUGAUCACCUGUGCUGCUGACAGUGUGACAAGGCUAAUAACAUGUGACUUUGUGCAUUGUGCCGUUUUGUUUAUAUGAUCAAAAUAGUUAUUUUAACAGGAAUGUGUUGAACUUAUAUUUUCUUGUUCUCAAAUGUUGCCUGUGAGCCAGUCGAGUAUAUAUGAACCUGAAGCCAAAGGAGCCCAGAUCUGAUAACCUCUGUACUGUGGCCCUAUUUAGUUUAGAAAACAUCCUUUUCCAGAUUUUCUAUAUUGAGAUGCUUAGAAAAUACAGUUACUGUAUGGGCCUACUUGUGUUACAUUCAUUUUAUGAUUAUUUUCCAAUAAUAAAAUAUUUUUUUUGAAACGUG